UGCUGCUGGAAGGCAGGCAACAACAUUGCUUGGCUGCAGGGCUGCCGGUAUCAUUUGGAGGGGGAUUCCUGCAGAAGUGAUCCUGCUUUAGUGGUAUGAUAUAGAGGCAAAGGUAAUCCCUUUGGUGGGCUAAACUCAGGCCAUCUGGGGUACAUGGAGAGACAAUAUCACAGAUAUACCCCCAUAAAGUAUCCUAACACAGGCAUUGUUUGAGAAACCUACCUAUCCAAAAACAGAUACUACUGGCAGAGCAGUGGUUUACGGGUAGCCCUGUGGGCUGGUCAGCUGACUGGGGCUAUCAUAUGACUAGGAGAUGGCUCAGGACAGACCUAUAUAAGCCCUGGAUUGAACUAGUCAGGGCAGAUGGUCAACAUAGGCUAUGGUGGAGUAUGGGGCUCCUGAAUGCCUACAAAAUUGGGAGAAAACACCUCUGCAGGCUGGGGAACAGGACAAGUGACCCAGAAAGAAAGAGACACUUAGUAAGCAGGAACUGCCUGUUGUUUUUCUUCUUAUGUUAUAGCCCAGAGGCUUAGUGUUUAUGUUGCAGUUUAAACCUGUGGUUUGGGUUGGGACUGUAGGGGAGGUUUCAGAGGUCCCAGUAGUGCCCAAGGGGCACAUGACCACCUUGAGCCCAGCCAACUGCAGGUUUAAGGUUUGAUCAGUUAUUGAGUCCAGAGUGGGCAGAGAGAGAGUGCUAGACAGCAAACACACAAGAGGGGUAGAGGCGCAGAGGAACAGCCCAGAGAAGAUGCAGCCACACGAGGGCCUGGGGCCCAGCAGACAAUGGCCAGGGGCCCAGUGCAAACAUGAGCUAGAGCCUCAAAGCCAGGCCCAAUGCAGUGAGCCUAAGCUAAAAGUCUACCUAAAGCAAAGGGUCAGAGGCCAGGGAAGCCAAAGCCCCAGCAGUGACUACAGUAACAUCUGUGAGGCAUGGGGCAUGAUGUAGGGAUCAUAUGAGCCAUGCAAUGAGCCCUGAAGACAAGAGCUCCACACCUAUGGUAGUUCUUGGGAGCAAGAAGCAGGUCUGGGAAGCCCUGAGGCAGCCUCCUCUUUGAGAACCAGAAGGAAAAUCAAGACAUGGCAGGAAAGUGAGGGGGAGAGUAAGUCGGAAUAAGGGCAACUCCAAGGUACCUCCAGGGGGUUUUGACUGCCCUGGGAAUGGCACCCAAUUACAAUAGGCAUGCAGAGAGCAUGAAGUGCUCAAAAAAAGGCAUGGCCAAUUUAAAUUGGUUUACCUGAGUAGGUGCAGUAGUUUAGAUUGAGAUUGGACUAACCCAGUCUAAGAAAGGGUUCACCUGAUCUUGCAAAUGCCUGUAUGAGAUCUGGAAAGCCCAGCUGCUCACUCCAGCCCCGGGGCUGAGGUGUUCCCACCCCCAUGACCAUGACUGGGCUAUUUUUAAGCUCCCCCACCUCCCCAGUCCCACUCACUCCUCCCUCCACUUCUAGUUACUUGCACCAGUUUCACUGUAAAGCUCCUAGGAAUGGCAAAUAGCUAGAUGUACUGCUCUUGCACUAUGUUCAAGUGACUUAAAGCAAACAGUGUGAACAAAGACCAGUGAAUGGCUGUAUGCACCUUUUGGGAAUAUCAUGAGAAAAACCCUGAUCUCAGCCAAACCUGUUCAGCUAAUUUGAAUAGCAGAAAAGGCUUGAAUUUUUCAUUAGGGCAGGAUAUUCCUCACUGUAGAAUCAUAAGGGCCUGAGCCACUAUAUCUUCUUGUAGGAGACAGCCUCAGGUAAGUAUCCUUAUUCAGGGCACUUAUUUAAGCUUUCAAACAAACUGAGAUUUACCCACUAACUGUAAAGGUCAGUCUGUGACAGUUGCCCUCCUGAAUGCUGAUGAUCAUAUACUCCUGUUUGGUUUAUAUAAAGUCUGUAUUGCUACUACUCUAUUAGAAAUCGCAAUAAAUUUUUGUUUGGAUGAAAACAACUUUUACUGAGGCUGUUGUCAAAACAGGCCCAUAAAUCUGCAUUAUAGGAACCCUGCAGGCACUGGGACGAUUAUCAACAGUACUACUGGGACAAGAAUUGGAGGAGCAGACACAGUGGGACCUGUAAUUUAUUUGCUAUUACCACCACAAACUCAAAGUGGCAGCUCAGAUAAAAUAAGGAAUAGAACAAGGAGUUUGCCACAGAUGUUUAAAAUGUAGGUAGAGCUAAAGACACAAAUGGACAGAUUCUGAUCUGAAUUGUAUGCAUUGUAUCAAACAUGACUCCACUGAAAUCAAUGGAGUUGCUCUGCAUUUAUACUCUGUUAUACUUUAUCACUAGCAGGAGAAUUUUGCUUAUUAAAUAUGAGUUAGCCCUACCCUUCUUAAAAAGAUAUUUGUAAAAUGUCUGGGUUUGCUAAGGUGAUUCAUGUUAUAGCUGAAUUAUUAUGAUUAUGACAGUGCCUUGUUUCUUUAACAGCUAGGGGAUUUAAGAUGUAUAAUUUGCUUUAGGUAAGCUAUAUGGAGAAGACAGCUACAUGAUGUUGUAACUUUUAAAAUGGGCUUUUAUUUUUUUUCUGUUUAUAUGAAUCUUUCUUACAUGUGGAGACCCAUUACACUUGGUCCCAUUCCUUAACAUCUGCAGAAUUGCAUCCUAAUGUUUUCUAUGAAAUGCCGUAAAGGAAAAGCUGUUUGAAAUACUUAAAAUGAGGUUCAGUGGUCCUGGCAAUCAUGUAACUUGUGUAGGUGGGGAGGGAGGGGAAUAGCAGAGCAUCAGCAUCAGAUGCAUGGACAAAUUCUAGUGGCACCAAAAUGACUGUCCUACAGACUCUACCCUGGUGCUACAACUUACGCUGAAGGAGUUUCAGCUGAGGAAGCAGCAGCCCACACCACCACAACUACAGCAUCCCUUGUGUGAUGAGGUAAGUGCUCACUAUUCCUCUGUCCAUGCAGCCCAAGGCACUAAAAUUUUAACUUAUACCUCUAAGCCUAGGUAACAAAUCAUACACUUCAGUAAAGACAGAGCAGGACGCUUCAGCAAAGGGCUUAGUAGACAUCUUACAGUGAUUCAUUGUAGACUAUCUUGAAACGGAAAAUAUUAGAAAAAUCCGCCAAAUCAAUAAUGAGCAUUGUAGAGAACCUCAAGAAUUAAGUUUCCUGUUGUGAAUAUCUAAAAAGUUCUGUAAUAGACUCUACUUUUUAUUUACAGUGUCCUCAUGUCCUGAAUUUUUAUUUUCUUGUGCUUCGUUAGCUUUUACAUAAAGCAAUCGCAGCAUUGGCCAGCCGUUUUAUCUCUUCUCACAUACAGAUACAAAUCAAUCUGUCCUUUUGAAAGAGCAGUUGGAGAACAAUUAAGAAUUCUACAAAAGUAUUCUGGUAUCUAAGCAAAGGGAGAAGAUGACUACAAAAUGGGUCACAGUCCAGAACUGGGAACCUUGGGUUCUUCCCUGAUUAUAUACCUGGAAGUUCAAUCAUAUAAAGAAAGAAAAUGUGUCUAAAGCCUAACAAUACAAAAAUAAUUAACCAAGAGCCUAGGAGGCUUCUUACAAUUAACCUCUAAUUUGUUUUCAGUUAAACCCAGAUUCAAGAGACAGUUUUGUUUAUGUCAAAGGGCACAAUUCAGAAUGCACCCCUAUUCAGGAAAGAAGCUUAAGUACAUGCUUAAAGAUGAGCAGUCCAUGUGGUUUUGCUCCUGUAUAUUUGUAUGAAUUAACACAAAUUGAUGUACUUGUAUUUUUUAAAGGUUUUAUGACAAAA